rnacentral:rRNA from 1 species
UGGGGAAUAUUGCACAAUGGGCGCAAGCCUGAUGCAGCCAUGCCGCGUGUGUGAAGAAGGCCUUCGGGUUGUAAAGCACUUUCAGCGAGGAGGAAGGUGGUGAACUUAAUACGUUCAUCAAUUGACGUUACUCGCAGAAGAAGCACCGGCUAACUCCGUGCCAGCAGCCGCGGUAAUACGGAGGGUGCAAGCGUUAAUCGGAAUUACUGGGCGUAAAGCGCACGCAGGCGGUUUGUUAAGUCAGAUGUGAAAUCCCCGGGCUCAACCUGGGAACUGCAUUUGAAACUGGCAAGCUAGAGUCUCGUAGAGGGGGGCUAGAAUUUCCAGGUGUAGCGGUGAAAUGCGUAGAGAUCUGGAGGAAUACCGGUGGCGAAGGCGGCCCCCCUGGACGAAGACUGACGCUCAGGUGCGAAAAGCGUGGGGCAGCAAACAGGAUUAGAUACCCUGGUAGUCCACGCUGUAAACGAUGUCGAUUUGGAGGUUGUGCCCUUGAGGCGUGGCUUCCGGAGCUAACGCGUUAAAGUCGACCGCCUGGGGGAGUACGGCCGCAAGGUUAAAACUUAAAUGAAUUGAC